UCUGAAUAUUUGAGCAGAAACUUAACAAUUUUAUAACAUAGUAAAACACUUGAAAAUCAAAAUAAUAGGGAAAUAUAGUGGCAUGGUUCCUACUAAUUUAUGAAGUCAUAAGUUGCACAAAAUAUCUCAGCUAAAUAACUUGAACAAGCUUAUGCCAUCACUUCUGCACUCCAUGUCACUCAGGCUGGCUCACCAUGAACGCAACCUGAGUAUCAAAAUGGAAGCAGAAAUUCCCAAGGACAGCAAUCAAAUGGAACUAUGCGACAGUACUCGCUAAUCCAGAGGGCGACAUAGAAAAGUAGCGCACACCCAUAUCAUUCAUCAGUCAUCCCAAAAGGGAAGCACCGAAUCCAGUGGGCCACUGCAACCAAUUCGACAGUUCGAAUCAAAAUCCAGAAAUAGAAGCAUGAAGCAUCCAUACAUACCAUGGGGGCAAAGAACCAAACUACGGAGUAAACUAGAUUAAUCGGGAAGCGGAGCAGUGCAGCAUGCAUACCUUCGAAGCACUCCUCGAAGAAGACCUCACCGGACGCGAGGAGUAGGAGCGAUGAGAGGACGAGAAGGCGGUCGAGCAGACGGUGGAGGUUGCGGCGGUGAGUACCCAUCGCCGGCGAUUACCCGGCCGCCGAACGACGCCCUCGUGACGCACCGCCGCUCGCUGGGCUGCGGGGGAGGGGGGGGG